rnacentral:rRNA from 1 species
GGUUUUCGGACCUAGCGGCGGACGGGUGAGUAAUGCGUAGGAAGCUGCCCGAUAGAGGGGGAUACCAGUUGGAAACGACUGUUAAUACCGCAUAAUGUCUACGGACCAAAGUGUGGGACCUUCGGGCCACAUGCUAUCGGAUGCGCCUACGUGGGAUUAGCUAGUUGGUGAGGUAAUGGCUCACCAAGGCGACGAUCUCUAGCUGGUUUGAGAGGAUGAUCAGCCACACUGGAACUGAGACACGGUCCAGACUCCUACGGGAGGCAGCAGUGGGGAAUUUUGGACAAUGGGCGCAAGCCUGAUCCAGCCAUUCCGCGUGCAGGAUGAAGGCGUUCUGCGUUGUAAACUGCUUUUAUCUGGGAAGAAACCUGAGUAUUCUUAUUCAGCCGACGGUACCAGAUGAAUAAGCACCGGCUAACUCCGUGCCAGCAGCCGCGGUAAUACGGAGGGUGCGAGCGUUGUCCGGAUUUAUUGGGUUUAAAGGGUGCGUAGGUGGCUUUAUAAGUCAGUGGUGAAAUACAGCCGCUCAACGGUUGAGGUGCCAUUGAUACUGUAGAGCUUGAAACAAGUGGAGGCUGCCGGAAUGGAUGGUGUAGCGGUGAAAUGCAUAGAUAUGCCAUAGAACACCGAUAGCGAAGGCAGCCUGCUAAAGUUGUACUGACGCUGAUGCACGAAAGCGUGGGUAGCGAACAGGAUUAGAUACCCUGGUAGUCCACGCCGUAAACGAUGUCAACUAGCCGUUGGGAGCCUUGAGCUCUUAGUGGCGCAGCUAACGCAUUAAGUUGACCGCCUGGGGAGUACGGCCGCAAGGUUAAAACUCAAAUGAAUUGACGGGGGCCCGCACAAGCGGUGGAGCAUGUGGUUUAAUUCGA